rnacentral:lncRNA from 1 species
UUCCCUGUUUCUCACAUUCCACCCACUCCCCCUGUCCAGCCUACCCCACAUCCCCCACCAACACUACCCAAGCAGCAGAGCUUUGGGGUGAAGCCACCCCCCUCUCCACUGUCCCCUGUGCCCUCAGUUGUGAAGCAGAUGGCCAGUCAGUUUCCACCCCCUCCCACUCCUCCUCCUGUGGACUCUCAGCCCCUAAAACCUCUCCCAGCAAGUGUCACCCCACAGUCCCCUCCUGCAGUAAAAGCAAAACCCAAAUGGCAGCCCAGUUCAAUCCCUGCCCCUUCUCCAGAUUUCCCUCCUCCCCCUCCUGAAAGCAGCCUGGUAUUUCCUCCACCACCUCCUCCAGCCCCAGUCCCACCACCACCACCACCACCACCUCCACCACCACCACCACCACCAGUGUCACCUAUGGCUUCACCUACCCCUGACAAAGGUGGAUCUCCAGGCAAAAAGACAAGUAAGAUGUCCAGCCCUGGGGGGAAGAAACCACCCCCAACCCCGCAGCGCAACUCCAGCAUUAAGUCCGGCAGUUGUGCAGAGCACCCUGAGCCCAAGCGACCCUCGGUAGACAGUCUAGUCAGCAAGUUUGCACCGCCAGCAGAAUCAGGGUCUCCCAGCAAGGAGACCCCACCACCUCCUGCAGCACCCCCCAAACCUGGGAAACUACACCUUUCUGGAGUCAACCUCCCUGGAAUCCAUCAGCAAGGGAUUUUGUCGGCAAAACCCUCUGUUCUAAGUGGGCGUGGAAAGGACGCCGUGGUGGAAUUUCCAUCUCCACCAUCUGAUUCUGACUUUCCACCCCCUCCUCCUGAAAUAGAGCUUCCUCUACCCCCUAUCGAGAUUCCAGCUGUCUUCUC